CAUAACCGAAGAUAACUGCUGGGUUCAAUGUGGGAUUGGUAAUAAUCCGAACGUCACCACCGCCUGGUGCCCAGGUGUCAUACAACCCACCGAAGAACAUUGCUUUUGCUACCAAUAGCAGCGCACCGAAUCCCAAAAUAAUCAGAUGGAAUCCGAUGAUGUUGGUCAUCUUGUUCUUGUCUUUCCA
rnacentral:antisense_RNA from 21 species